rnacentral:rRNA from 1 species
AUUGAACGCUGGCGGCAUGCCUUACACAUGCAAGUCGAACGGCAGCACGGGUGCUUGCACCCGGUGGCGAGUGGCGAACGGGUGAGUAAUACAUCGGAACGUACCUUAUCGUGGGGGAUAACGCAGCGAAAGCUGUGCUAAUACCGCAUACGCCCUGAGGGGGAAAGCGGGGGAUCGCAAGACCUCGCGCGAUUAGAGCGGCCGAUGCCUGGUUAGCUAGUUGGUGGGGUAAAAGCCCACCAAGGCGACGAUCAGUAGCUGGUCUGAGAGGACGAUCAGCCACACUGGGACUGAGACACGGCCCAGACUCCUACGGGAGGCAGCAGUGGGGAAUUUUGGACAAUGGGGGCAACCCUGAUCCAGCAAUGCCGCGUGAGUGAAGAAGGCCUUCGGGUUGUAAAGCUCUUUUGUCAGGGAAGAAACACCGGCUCUAACACAGUCCGGGAAUGACGGUACCUGAAGAAUAAGCACCGGCUAACUACGUGCCAGCCGCCGCCGUAA